rnacentral:lncRNA from 1 species
CAAUCACCUUACGAAAUCUUUCAUAAGGUUAAAUCAUCCCUUGAUCAUUUGAGAACCAUGGGUUGUUUAUGUUAUGCCACCAAAGUUGUGAAGGUUGAUAAGUUUUCCUCUAGAGCAGAUGCCUGUGUCAUGAUAGGGUAUUCACCAACUCAAAAGGGGGUACUUGUUGUAUAAUCUGAGCCUUCAAAAAAUUUAUAAUAAACAGGGAUGUUGUCUUCAAGGAGCAUGUAUUUCCAUUCAGCAAAAUGAAAGAUAAAUACUUGCCAAAUUUUGUUCAACAGAUAGAUAAACUUGGAUAUGAAGAGCUUCAGAAAAGAGUUAUUACUGAUAAUGAAGUUCCCACAAACGAUGCACUUGAUCAUCAGAAUAUUAUGAAUGACCUGAACCAAGAUGUUGAGAAUGAUUCCUUGGUGAAUCAAGAUGUUGUCAAUGAUCCAAUUGUUAUUAAUGAUUCCUUGGUGAGUCAAGAUAUUGUACAUGAAGUCAGGCCUAGAACCUCCUCAAGAGUAUCUCAUCCACCUGUUUGGAUGAAAGAAUAUGUGACUAUUAUGACAGCCUCCAUGCACCCUCAUUCCUUAGCCAACUAUGCAUCCUAACAAUCACUUAUCUCCCACAUACCAAGCAUAUUUGAGUGGAAUAUCCACUGACACAGAACCAAGUAGUUAUGAAGAAGCAAUCAAAGACCCCAGAUGGGUAGAAGCCAUGAAGCACGAAAUUAGUUCAUUGGAAGACAAUGGUACAUGGAGAGUAAUGAAGUUUCCUCCCAGAAAGAAUGACAUAGGGUGUAAAUGAGUUUUUAAGAUCAAGUAUAAGGCAAAUGGUGAAAUUGAUAGAUAUAAAGCCAGACUUGUAGCAAAAGGCUAUAGCCAGACUGACGGAAUUGAUUAUCAGGAGACUUUAUCACCAGUGGUAAAAAUGGUGACGGUUAGGACCAUUAUUGUUGUUGCAGCAGCAGAGAACUAGAUGAUUUAUCAAAUGGAUGUUUUUAAUGUAUUCUUGCAAGGAGAUUUGGUUGAAGAAGUGUACAUGGAUUUGCCUAAGGGAUUCAAUAAAAGGGAAUGUAGGCUUUUUAAGUCAUUAUAUGGACUUAAGCAGGCUUUAAGACAAUGGAAUGCAAAGUUGACUGAUGCAUUGUCUAAAUCAGGCUACAUUCAGAGUCAUCUGGAUUAUUCCUUGUUUACAAAAAGGAAAGGCACAUCAUUGGUGAUUGUACUUGUAUAUGUAGAUGAUUUGUUAAUCACAGGGAAUGACUCCACAUUGAUACAAGAAACCAAAUAGGUUCUGCACAAACAUUUCAAAAUCAAAGAUUUAGAUGAGCUGAGAAAUUUUCUGGGAAUAGAAUUUUGCAGAUCAGAGAAGGGAAUUGUUAUGAACCAAAGGAAAUAUGCUUUAGAGUUGGUGUCUGAAGCUGUUCUAGCAGGGGGAGACCUUCAUCUAUACCUUUGGAAUGUAUCAUGAAACUUACUAGUGCAGAGUUUUUUGAUUCUGAUGCAUUAUUCACUGAUAUAGCUAAAUAUCAAAGGUUGAUUGGGAAGUUGCUCUAUCUUACUAACACCAGACCUAACAUAGGUUUUUCAGUUCAGUGUCUGAGUCAAUUUAUGCAGAAGCCUACUAUGUCUCACUAGAAUACAACUCUGAAAGUAGUGAGAUAUAUCAAGGCUGCACCAGGUCUAGGACUACUUAUGAGUGCCGAGAAACAAACAAACCUUACUAGCUUUUGUGAUGCAGAUUGGGCUGCACGCCCCAACACAAGAAGGUCAGUGACUGGAUUUUUACUGAAGCUUUGAUAUCUUGGAAAUCAAAGAAGCAGAACACAGUUUUCAGGAGUUCUGCAGAAGCAGAAUAUAGAAGUUUGGUUACAUUGACUGCUGAGGUGGUUUGACUGACUAAAUUGUUUAAUGAAUUGGGGCUGAGCUUAGAUAAACUUGUCACCAUUCAUUGUUAUAGCAAAGACAGAUUUACAGAUAGCAGCAAAUCCCGUGUUUCAUGAGAGGACGAAGCACAUAGAAAUUGAUUGCCACUUUAUCUGGGAAAUGAUGCAACAGGGCUUGAUAAGAACAAGUUAUAUCAGCACCAAGGAUCAACAGGCUGAUUUGUUGACAAAGGCACUUGGGAGAACUCAAUAUGAUUUUCUACUUUCCAAGCUAGGUGUUUUGAAUAUCUUCAGUAGACCUAGCUUGAGGGGGAGUAUUGAAGAUGAAGGUUCAAGUAGUUAGUUAGGUUCACAAAGUUAGUUAAGGGUUAAUUAAUUGUACUUGUCAUCAUUAUAGUCGGUUAAGUUUGUUACACAAUUCUAGAAGAUUAGAAGUAGUUAGCAAGUAGUUAGUAACUAGUACAAUUGUAUAUAUAGGAGCUCUUUCUUUCUGUAAUCACAGUUUUAGUAUGCAAUACAAAAUUUCUCAAUUCUCUCUUCUCUCUUCCUAAAUUCAUCAUAUAUAUAUAUAUAUAUAUAUAUAUAUUCUAUUAUUAAAGUUACCUAAGUUUCAUAAGUGGUCCCUAAAUUAUAUUUCCUUAAAUCAAAACCAGACAAUUUAUUUUUAGCACAUAAAAAUCAUUAGACACUGACCAUUGUAUUCAAAAAUCACAAUGCUAAAAAAUUUUAAACUUGUGUAUUGUUAAGGGGAAUUUCAAUCUAUCUUAAUGAUGCUAAGGGAAUUGAAAAGCUUCUUUAAUGUAUCUAGGUUGGACACAAAUACAGUAAAAUCAAAUAUCUAUGGAGCGAAUAUGACAAGCCAAUGUGUAAAUAAUAUUUGUGAGUUGACUUGGUACCAAAAAGAGGCCUUACCUUUCAGAUAGAUAUCUCUCAAGAUAGAUAUACAUAAAUAUACAUAAUUUUUUCCGAAGUUAACGGAUGCACGUGUACACAAUCUAGAAGGGUGGGUCUGCCUCUAGCGAUGGGUGGAUCAUGUCUACGUGACACCCCAGAAAUUUUUUCGAACUAAGACUUGAACCAUCCUUCGUUGUGAGUAGGAUUUUUACCGAGCACGUCUCCGUCGACGUGCCUCUUUCAACGUGUUUUUUAAAAAUAAAAUUUAAAAAAUUAUUUCUUUUGUUCUUCUUUAAUUUAAUUAGUUUAUAAUUUUUUUUGAAAUAGAAUCCGUUUUAGCUAUAACUUUUAGUUUUAAAUUCAAAACUUAACGCUGAAGCGGGAAAAAAAGUAACUAACAACUUAAAUCAUGUUAAAAUUUAAUCAACUUGCUAAAUUCUACCUUUCUCUUAUUAUAUAAGAGACCGUUUGUGUUGAAGCAGACACGUCUCCGUCGACGUGCCUGCUUCAUCGUAUUUUUUUUUAAAAAAAAACUUAAAAUUUAUUUCUUUUUCUCUACUUUAAUUUAAUUAUUGUAUAAUUUUUUCGAAAUUAUGAAAUCAUUUUUAGCUAUGACUUUUAGUUUUAAAUUCAAGACUUCACGUUGAAGCAGGAUAAAAAGCAAUUAACUUAAAUCAUAUUAAAAUUUAUUCUACUUUCUAUAUUCUACCUAUGUCACAUAAAUUAAAUUAAAAAUAAAACUAAAAUAUUAGGCCCGUGCUAGCACGGGCACCUAUUUCUAGUAUAUAUAUAUAUAUAUAUAUAUAUAUAUAUAUGCGCAAGGACAAAGCCAUAAGUGUGUGAGGGCAUUUUUAUAUUAAUUUUAAUACGAUAUGUGGGACCUACAACGUGCUUUUCCUCAACCAUUUUUUUCUCGUUCCUGCUUUUCUCUUUCAUGUUUUGUUUCAUUUUCUAUCUUUUUAGUGGAGUAUCUAUUUUGAAACCAAUUUCAUUAUUACCUAAUUUUUAUUUUUGCUUAUCAUAAAAAUAAAAUUUUCUUUUGUCUUAUAUAUUUUAUUAAAUAAAAAAUAUAUUGUUUUUUUAAUAUUAUUGUAUCACUAAAUAAAUGCAUAAGAUAUUAAUAGUCAAACUUAAUAUUUUAAAACAUAAUUAAUAAAACAAAUUUAAUAAAAUAAACCUCUAACAAAAUACAAGUGAAUCUAUAUAUAAAAAGAAUUGUGAAAUACAUAUUAUUAAAUUAUAUAUUAAAUAUUUAAAUAUUAUUGGCAUAUAGAAAAUAUGAGUGUUACAACUAUAUUGUUGUUGUUGUUGUUAAUAAAAUAAACCUCUAACAAAAUACAGGUGAAUCUAUAUAUAAAAAGAAUUGUGAAAUACAUAUUAUUAAAUUAUAUAUUAAAUAUUUAAAUAUUAUUGGCAUAUAGAAAAUAUGAUUGUUGUUGUUGUUGUUAUUAUUAGGUAUUUGUCCAUAAAUUCUAAAUAUAUUUUUUGGUUGCAAUUGUUGGCAUUGAAGAUGAAGUUGUGUUGGUUAUAUAGUUUGUAAAGAAUAUUUAAAAUGAUGUUUUUUUAAUGUACUUAGGUAAAUUGUUAAAAGUAAAAAAUAGUCUAGAAAUAGAUUAUUAGAUGUUCAAGUUUUUUAAUAUAACUUCAAAUUGAAAAUAAAUUAUAUUUCAAAUUUUGAUGGCCAAACGUUGAUUUUAAAAUAAAUUGAAAUAUUAUUACGAAAAAAAUAAAUAUUUUUAUGUUCGAAUGGAUCCUAAAACUAGAAGUUGAAAAAUAUAUGAAACAUAAAGAUGAUUUUUUAAAGAAUGAUAAAUGAAAAAUAAAAGAAAAAGAAACAAAAAGAAUUUUAAUAGACAAUUUUCAAAAUAUAAAUAACCAUUCAAAUAAUUAAUUUCAAUUUUUUACGCUCACAACCUCUAAUUAUCUACAACAUGGGCUUGACACAUUUUAUAUAAAAUUAUCCAGCUCUAACUUAUAUAUUAAUCACAAAAAAUCCAUUGGAAAUUCACUAAUCGAAAAAGAACAACGGAUAAACUAAUCAGAUCGUCUAACUAAUUUGACACAGGUCUUCAGGAAGUUGAGAAUUUGGAUAGAGCAUUAGUAAUUCACAAGGACUAUCAAGGCUUACAUGGAGACAGCUUGGGAGGGCAGGAUGCUGUGGUGUUAGAUACGGUGGAGUUUGAGAAAGAGCCUCAUCUGCAUUUAGAAGAUGUUGAUAACAGAUACAGGUCAGACAAUAGUGAGGAGCUCCUUACUGGUUGCUCACCUGUCAAUCAAGAACAUAUGCACAAUGUUAGUAUGAUUAGUGCUGCUCAAAAUGCAAUAAUCAAGUUUUCAGGGGUAAUCAAACAAAGUUCUCCUAUCAAAGAACUUCAUGAUUUGGUUUCUCAUAAAAUUGUAGAUAAAGACAACACUUCAGUAGAGGUAACAAAUCAACAGCAAAAUGAUCUAGUAAUAAACAAGGAUGAAAAUGAAAACUACAGUGAUCAUGCACAGGUUGUAAAUAAUGCAGGAGGUUCCCCUCAAGGGAAAUCAAAGAAGAAGAAGACUAAAUCUCAAGGGGAUAAGCCUAUUAGGAUUAACCCUAUGAGGUCUGGUAGAGCUAUGUCAAAAUGAUCUUUAAAGCAUUAAUAUGGAAUAUUAGAUCAAUUAGAUCUAAACAUUCUUUCCAUAGAGUGCAAAUGCUUCAUAGACAUCACAAAUUUGAUUUGGUUGCCUUGAUGGAACCUUUUCAAGAGACUAGGCAGAUCCAACAGUAUAAAAGGAGACUAGGCAUGGCCUAUGCAAAUUAUAAUAUCAAUGGGAAGAUUUGGUUGUUUGUAAAGGAGGACAUUCAGGUGGAGGUUGUUUCAGAUUCUGAACAACAGUUGACUAUUAAGAUGUUAUUCCGUAGUGGAUAUCAGAUUGUUAGUACUCUUGUCUAUGCUAAGUGUACAACUGUUGAAAGAAUUCAAUUGUGGGAAGAUUUGUAUGUCAUUGGGCAAAAUAUGUAUUUCCCCUGGUGUGUUGGAGGGGAUUUUAAUAUUAUUAUGGAUGCCGAAGAAAAGAUAGGUGGUCUACCUGUCUAUCCUACUGAGGUGGAUGAUUUUGCAUUUUGUGUCAAUUCCUGUGAAUUAUUUGACAUUAAAUUCAAAGAUAGCCCUUUCACUUGGUGGAAUGGGAGGACGGAUGGUGAUUGUAUUUUUAAAAGAUUAGACAGGGUUGUAGGGAAUCAAGCAUUUUUGGAAGGGUUGGGUCAUGUGGAGUUAGAACAUCUAGCUAGGACAGGGUCAGAUCAUGCUCCUAUGUUGCUAUCUUGUGGAGUUAAAACUAUCCAGUUCCUCAAACCUUUUAGAUUCCUCAACUUUUGGUCUGAAAAGGAAGGGUUCAAAGACCUGAUUAGGCAAAAUUGGGUUGAUGAUCAUUCUGAUGAUGUGUUUGUUAAUUUAAAGCUCAAGAUGAAGAAGACUAAACUAGCUCUUUCUAAGUGGAGUAGAGAAAGUUUUGGGGAUAUUUUCAAACAAUUAGUUAUAAGGGAGGAUAUUCUGAAAAUCAAAGAAAAAUUGUUUGAGGAUGUUCCUUCUGAUGCUAAUAGAAUUAUCCUCAAUAGAGCUCAAGAAGAAUAUACAAAAUACUUGAAGUUUGAAGAGGAUUUCUGGACACAAAAGGCUGGGAUGCAAUGGUUCAUUGAAGGAGAUAGGAGCACUAAAUUCUUCCACAAUAUUGUAAGAGGAAGAAGAAGAUUAGAAAUAUCCAAAAUGCAUAAAGCUGAUGGUACAUGGGCUGAAGGAAGUGAAGUUGAGGGAGAGGCUGUAAAAUUCUUUCAAGAUCAAUUUUCCAGUGAUUUGCAGGAGUCUAGUCUACCCCUUGUGGAUUUAAUUCCCUCUUUGAUUAAGGAGGAAGAUAAUGCAAUGCUUAAUAGGAUUCCCUCUUCUGAGGAGGUUAGAAAGGUGGUCUUUGAACUUAAUGGAAAUAGUACAAGUGGACCUGAUGGUCUGACUGGACACUUCUAUCAAGUUUGCUGGGAUAUAGUAGGAGAUGAUGUUGUGAAGGUGGUACUUGCUUUUUUUGAUGGGAUGACUCUCCCUAAAUUCAUCACCCAUACCCACCUUGUGUUGAUUCCUAAGAAGGAGAAAGUGAUUUCAUUUGUUGAUCUAAGGCCUAUUAGUCUGAGAAACUUGAUUAAUAAUGUUAUUUCCAGAGUUGUUCAUGAUAGACUGGAAGUAUUCUUACCUACUCUUAUUUCUGCUAAUCAAUGUGGUUUUGUUAAAGGAAGAAGUAUUACAGAAAAUGUCCUACUUGCUCAGGAGAUUAUUGUGGAUAUCAGGAAGAAGAGUAAAACUACUAAUGUGGUGUUUAAACUUGACAUGGCUAAAGCAUAUGACAGGGUAGAUUAGAGCUUUUUGAUUAAAGUAUUGGAAAAAAUGGGCUUUAACACAGUAUUUAUUGAUAAAAUAUAGAGGCUGGUGGCCAACAAUUGGUAUUCUGUGUUGGUUAAUGGCCAAGCUUGUGGAUUUUUUCACUCAACUAGGGGUGUUAAACAAGGAGAUCCUUUAUCUCCUUCUUUAUUCAUUCUAACAGCUGAAGUCCUUACUAGGGCCCUUAAUAAUUUGUUCAGCUAUGCAGGGUAUCAAGGGUUUGGUCUUCCAAAGUGGAGUGAACAGAUUAAUCAUCUUGCCUAUGCUGAUGACACUAUCAUUUUUGCUAAGGCAGACAAAUUUUCUUUGAACUUGAUUAUGAGGACUUUACAAGAUUAUGAAUCCCAAUCUGGUAAAAAAUUCAAUAAAGAAAAGAGUGCAUAUUUUGUUUAUCACAAGGCAGCACAAAGUGACAUCCAGAUGAUAGAAGAGUGUAAUGGUUUUACCAAAGGUAAGUUCCCUCUAACUUAUCUUGGGUGCCCAAUUGGGCAUGGCAGGAAAAGGAAAACUCAAUUCUCUGAACUCAUUAAAAAGGUUCAAAACAAAAUUCAAGCUUGGAAAGGGAAGCUUCUGUCGUUUGAGGGUAAGUCUGUAUUGAUCACUAAUGUAUUACAGAGUGUUCCUAUAUAUCAGUCGUCUGCUAUCAUUCCUCCCAAAUGUGUCAUUCAUGAUCUUCAUAGAAUCUUUGCAAGAUUUCUAUGGAAUUUUAAGGAAGUAGGAAGAAAUAAACACUGGGUUUCCUGGAACAAUGUAUGCUUACCCAAAAAAGAAGGUGGUCUAGGAUUUAGAUCCUUAUUUGAUGUUUCAAGAGCUUUAUUUGCUAAACUAUGGUGGAAUUUUAGAACAAAAAAUACUAUGUGGUCCCAGUUUAUGUGGAAUAAAUACUGUAAAAGGCACAGACCACAAACAGUAGAGUGGAGAGGGGGUUCUCAAACCUGGAAAUAUAUGCUAGCUGCUAGAGAUUUUUUUGAUCAGGAAAUAUGGUGGCAACCAAAUGGUGGGCAUUCUAGUAUCAUGUUUGACAAUUGGACACAAUUAGGGGAUCUAUAUUACUACCUACCAGUGUCUAAUAAUAAUGAAUGGAUGCAUAGAGAUGUUGAUCAAUUAUUUCAUGAAGGGAGGUGGAAUGAAGAGCUCUUAAGGACCGUAUUCCCUGAGAAUGUUGUAAAUCAUAUUCUCAAUGAUAUUGAGAGAUUUCAGGAUUCAGAGGAAAGAGAUAUUCCUAGGUGGAUGUUAAACAACUCAGGGAAAUUCUCAAUGAAGUCUGCAUGGGACAAUAUCAGAAUCCCUGGAAUUGAGGAUGAUAGUUUUGCUAGGAUGUGAGAGAAGGGUGUACCUUUUAAAGUAUCUUUCUUUUUCUGGAGAUUAGCAAUGAAAAGGAUCCCUAUUGGUGAAGUCCUAGCCAGAUUUGAAACUGAGGAGGAGAUGGUGUGUUGCUGUUGUGAUCAGAUGGCUAAUGAAAGUUUUCAACACCUCUUUGUCUCCUGCCUUGCUGCUAAUCAAAUGUGGAGUAGUUUUACUAGAGCUGCUGGUGUAGAAGGUCCUUUUCUUCAGAUAAAGGACACAGUGUAUAAGUGGUGGAAUGCAACUUGUUCAGCUAAUCUUAGACCUCUAUUCAAUGCUAUACCUGGUCUAAUACUCUGGCAAAUUUGGAAAAAGAAGAAUAGAAUAAGACAUGGUGACAAAAUGAAUGUGCAAGGAAUGAUAAAUGGAAGUAAACAAGAACCUGCACAUGUUAGCUGUUUUUAGAUACCCUUGGCUGAGGAAUAUCCCUGAGGAUUGGCCAAAUUUGGUGCAUUUCUUUGAAGGAUAUAAACCAAUCUUAGUUCCUAAGGUCAUUCAUUGGAAACCUCCUAUGGAGGGGACCUAUAAAUGUAACUCAGAUGGAGUUUCUAAAGGAAAUCUUGGACAAAGUGCUGGUGGGUUUUGCAUCAGGGAUUGGAAAGGUGAAUUUAUAUUUGCUGCAACCUAUGAUCUUGGCAAAAGAACAGGUUUGCAGGCUGAAACUAGUGCCAUGGAGAAAGGUUUAAAUUAUUGUGUUACACAUAAUUUACUUCCUGUGUGUUUAGAGACGGAUUCACUGGUUUUGACCAAGAUUUUAAAUGGGGUAUUGGAGGUCCCUUGGAGCAUUAAAAUUCAGAUUCAGAAGAUUGAAUUUUUGAGAAACAAUAGGGAGGUUGCAGUGCUACAUACGCUCAGGGAAGGCAACAAAGUGGCAGACUACUUCACUAACUUUAUUUUUUCUUUUGCAGGUACAUAAAAUAAAACUUUCCAAUCAAUUCAAGAUGUACCAAAGGAAGGAAAAUCCUUAGUACUCAUGGAUGCAAAUCAGAUUCCAAACAUUUGAAUUACUAAAAUGCAAAAUAAACUCUAUGGUUUGUAGUUUCGAACUAUAAUCUUUGCACAAAAUGAAAUGCAAUUGCAGUAUAAGUCAAGCAGAGGAGAGAAAGGAAAUACCUAACAAAUAUACAUAGACUUUAGAUCCUAGCUUCUUAGACAGUGGUAUCAGUUCCCUCGGAGCUCAAUCUGUCAAGAGGCGAAGAUCUAAGGAAAAUGGUUUUCUACAAGGCACUGAUAUCUGGAGAAAGCUCCAAAGAAGAUAGAUCUGUACAGCAAUGUAAGGGCAAUGAAUAACAAUGUGAUAUUGAGAUUCUUGUUGAAUAAUCGAUAGGGAUGUGGGGGUUACCUCUCACACAGGAAAGGGACCAAUGUUUUGAGCUGAAGAAGUCUUCAACGGACAAGAAUACAUGGCGUUAGUGAGAUUUUUAACGUCUUGAUGUACUCUAUCCAAGCUCGAUGAUAUGAGUCUCUAGUUCCACAGUGAGUAAGGUCUAACUCCUAUCUCAUCAUUUGCACAAGGAUCUUUGAUGUAGGUCCACCAUAGCUGCCGGAGUCGAGAAGAGGUUGACGGAGGUCCACCAUUGAUGACGGAAGAUUUAGAGACAGUGGUGUCUUGACUAUAGGAGGGUUUUGUCUUUCCCCUUUUUAUUUGUUUUUUGUUUCCAUUUCUUGUUUCAGAUUUUGGAUUAGGCGUUUUGGGAC